rnacentral:rRNA from 1 species
UACGUAGGGUGCAAGCGUUGUCCGGAAUUAUUGGGCGUAAAGAGCUCGUAGGCGGUUUGUCGCGUCUGCUGUGAAAACUCGGGGCUUAACUCCGGGCCUGCAGUGGGUACGGGCAGACUAGAGUGCGGUAGGGGAGACUGGAAUUCCUGGUGUAGCGGUGAAAUGCGCAGAUAUCAGGAGGAACACCGGUGGCGAAGGCGGGUCUCUGGGCCGUAACUGACGCUGAGGAGCGAAGGCCAGGGGAGCAAACGGG